UGCAGCAAAGCAAGCGUCCCCUGCACCGCGGCGCUGGCGACACGUGAACUCGCUCAGCGGAGCCCGAGCGCCCCGGCGGCACGAGGCAGCCGCACGGGGCAGAGGGUUUCCAAACAAACCGUCGGCGACCAGAAAACAGCUCGGAGCAGAUCGCUCGCAGUAAAUCUCCACAUGACGCCGAGGCUGGGUUCGUCUUACACAGAGCUAAGAGUAGACAGAGAAAUGCCGAGGACAGAUGGCAGCGCCGUUCCCAGGGAUAUGGCCAUAGAUGAGCGUGUGCCGUUGCUGACUACUGUAUAUGUCCUUGCCUCGCUCAGCAGCGUACGUAACUGGGACAACUCAACCUGCAGCUCAGUGUGCAGCUACCGGACGGCUACAAACCAAAGCCUGGCUAUUAAGGAAAAUUAAAAUCACAGCCAGUUUAGCUUGCUGCCCUCGGCUGUGAACUGUGGCAGUUCGGCAGGACCCUGAAGGGAGGAAAAGCAAACAGUUGGAGACAGGAACUUCCCCAUGCAUCCUACCGUAAGCCAGAGCUUUUUUUUCUCCAAGCAUCUUGAGAGUCCUAUAUUAGAAGGAGGUACGUGACACGACCUUUGAUACUCGCUCUAAAUUAUGCAUGUAUAAUAGCACCCAAGGAUCUCAUGAAAUCUAUUACGUUGGGCAUUGUACAAACACAGCAAAAAGGUAUUCCUUCACUGAAGGGUUUGCAACCGAAAGGGCUGUUUUUCAUUACCCACCAAGGGUGAAUUUAGCUCUACACAAAAUAUACAGGAAAACACAGUUGCUAAUGUGAUGGAAAUUAUUACUGUGCAAUAAUUUAUGGAUCUUGUUUGUUGACUUUGCUAUUGGGAAAUUCACUGUCUAAAUAUAUUGGCUUGAUUUAAUAAGGGAAAAGCAGGCUGAACUAAUAGGUGGCUAUAACAAAAAAUAAGCAGACAGUGUAAAGGAGAGCUUGAAAUAAGCCACUACUUCAAUAAAUGUUUGCGGAUUUUUAAAAGUAAUGGGGAA
rnacentral:lncRNA from 1 species